rnacentral:lncRNA from 1 species
CUGUAGUGAUGGACACCAGUCCGGCCAACAGAGAAAGGCACCCAUACCUCUUGAGAUACUAUCUUUUUCCAUCCACUCUUUUCCUUCUUGACUCUGAUUAAAUUUAAGUUAGACUUUAUCAUGUUAGCCUCUCUAACUUACUGUAUAUCUUUUUGUCUGUCUUUGCUGCAUCCUAGAUUUCUUCUGAUUUAACUUCCAGGUCAUCAAUUCUCUCUUCAGCUGUGUUGAAUUGGCUAUUGAACCCAUCCACU